rnacentral:lncRNA from 1 species
AUGGAGGAAGAACAUACAGACCAACAGACACAACAUGGAGGAAGAACAUACAGACCAACAGACACAACAUGGAGGAAGAACAUACAGACCAACAGACACAACAUGGAGGAAGAACAUACAGACAACAUGGAGGAAGAACAUACAGACAACAUGGAGGAAGAACAUACAGACAACAUGGAGGAAGAACAUACAGACACAACAUGGAGGAAGAACAUACAGACACAACAUGGAGGAAGAACAUACAGACCAACAGACACAACAUGGAGGAAGAACAUACAGACAACAUGGAGGAAGAACAUACAGACAACAUGGAGGAAGAACAUACAGACACAACAUGGAGGAAGAACAUACAGACACAACAUGGAGGAAGAACAUACAGACCAACAGACACAACAUGGAGGAAGAACAUACAGACCAACAGACACAACAUGGAGGAAGAACAUACAGACCAACAGACACAACAUGGAGGAAGAACAUACAGACACAACAUGGAGGAAGAACAUACAGACCAACAGACACAACAUGGAGGAAGAACAUACAGACACAACAUGGAGGAAGAACAUACAGACCAACAGACACGACAUGGAGGAAGAACAUACAGACCAACAGACACCACAUGGAGGAAGAACAUACAGACACAACAUGGAGGAAGAACAUACAGACCAACAGACACAACAUGGAGGAAGAACAUACAGACACAACAUGGAGGAAGAACAUACAGACCAACAGACACCACAUGGAGGAAGAACAUACAGACCAACAGACACAACAUGGAGGAAGAACAUACAGACCAACAGACACAACAUGGAGGAAGAACAUACAGACACAACAUGGAGGAAGAACAUACAGACCAACAGACACAGUGUUAUAGGCAGACAGACAGACAGAUGGAAACAGAGACGGACAGACAGACAGACGGAAGGACAGAUUGACAGACAGACAAAAUGUGAUAAAGGCAGACAGACAGAAGGACAGAUUGACAAACAGACAAAAUGUGAUAAAGGCAGAUAG